rnacentral:rRNA from 1 species
UACGAAGGGUGCAAGCGUUACUCGGAAUUACUGGGCGUAAAGCGUGCGUAGGUGGUUUGUUAAGUCUGUUGUGAAAGCCCCGGGCUCAACCUGGGAAUGGCAAUGGAUACUGGCAGGCUAGAGUGCGGUAGAGGGUAGUGGAAUUCCCGGUGUAGCGGUGAAAUGCGUAGAGAUCGGGAGGAACACCCGUGGCGAAGGCGGCCAUCUGGACCAGCACUGACGCUGAGGCACGAAAGCGUGGGGAGCAAACAGG